rnacentral:lncRNA from 1 species
GGGUACGCUUUGGGCCCCAUCGUCACAUGCGUUAUUAAUUUUCUUUCACACUUAUUUUGACGCGUGCUUCAACAGUUUUUCUUUCUUUUUAGAAAGUAGUGAUAAAGGAAGCACUCAGACUGACUCUGACUUUUACAAGACAUAAAGUGGGCAUCCCCACUUGACCAUACUAGCUAAUAAUACAAAACUAUGACAACUGUAGAGUAUCUUUACAACUGUAGAGUAUUUUUACGUAUCCAAGUUGUGCAGGGCUAUGGAGUCGAAGCUCAUGCCUGAGUCGUCGUCUAGCGCGCCAGGUAGGGGUCGAACCUACACACUCUAUUUUGGACUGCUUCGCGUGCCAGUACUUUUGUGACCCCCCCCCCUCCUUCCAGGUUCUAAGGCACAGUUUAGGGGUCUAGCUACUCAGUAGACAUUUUCAGAUUGCAGAUUGGAUCUUACAGUGGUGAGCCUUCUAUUAUUCAGAAGGCCUGGUCAUGUCAGAUUUUAUUAGUUGUUAUCUUUUGGUCUACUGGGGACUUGUCCUAGUUUUUAGACAGCUUAUAUAGUUCAGA